rnacentral:rRNA from 1 species
GACGGGGCCGGCACAAGCGGUGGAGUAUGUGGUUAAUUCGAUGCAACGCGAAGAACCUUACCUGGUCUUGACAUCCCGGAGACCCUUAGGAAACUAGGGGGUGCUUCCAUCUGGAAGAAUCUGGAGACAGGUGCUGCAUGGCUGUCGUCAGCUCGUGUCGUGAGAUGUUGGGUUAAGUCCCGCAACGAGCGCAACCCUUGCCUUUAGUUGCCAGCAGUUCGGCUGGGCACUCUAAAGGGACUGCCGGUGUUAAACCGGAGGAAGGUGGGGAUGACGUCAAGUCCUCAUGGCCUUUAUGACCAGGGCUACACACGUACUACAAUGGCCGAUACAAAGGGCAGCGACACUGCGAGGUGAAGCCAAUCCCGUAAAAUCGGUCUCAGUCCGGAUUGGAGUCUGCAACUCGACUCCAUGAAGUUGGAAUCGCUAGUAAUCGUGGAUCAGCAUGCCACGGUGAAUACGUUCCCGGGCCUU